GAAGUGAUCAUCAUCGCCAGGGGCUGUGGCGAGCAAACGUUUUGAGCUUUGUGGCCAGGACCGGAAGUGGACAUUCCCUGGGCAUACUUAGAUGAAGAAGCCGAGGCUCCGAGAGGUUGAGGCACUCCCCCCGAGAUCGCACAGCUGGUGACAGACGGCCCUCAGUGCCUUCGUCAAGCAGGCUGCUUAAUGGUGACAGCGUGGGAAAGACCGGGUUGUAAUUAAGUAUCAGCACACAUCAUCCCUUCCGGAGGACGAUGGCAAAGACAGCUUCCCUCUCUCCUGCACCGUGACCCUUCCUUUGAGGUCCUCACCACCCCCCCCACCCCCGAGAGU